AGAAAAUAGAUACCCUGGUAGUCCACGCCGUAAACGAUGGGCACUAGGUGCUGGGGGGAGCGACCCCGUCAGUGCCGUAGCUAAACGCGAUAAGUGCCCCGCCUGGGGAGUACGGCCGCAAGGCUGAAACUCAAAGGAAUUGACGGGGGCCCGCACAAGCGGUGGAGCAUGUGGUUUAAAUUCGAAGCAACGCGAAGAACCUUACCUAGGUUUGACAUGCUGGUGAAAGCCUCUGGAAACAGGGGCCCUUCUUCGGAACACCAGCACAGGUGCUGCAUGGCUGUCGUCAGCUCGUGUCGUGAGAUGUUGGGUUAAGUCCCGCAACGAGCGCAACCCUUGCCCCGUGUUACUAACAGGUAAAGCUGAGGACUCUCGGGGGACUGCCGGCGUCAAGCCGGAGGAAGGUGGGGACGACGUCAAGUCAUCAUGGCCCUUACGCCUAGGGCGACACACGUGCUACAAUGGCCACGACAGAGGGCAGCAAAGCGGCAACGUGGAGCGAAUCCCAGAAACGUGGUCUAAGUUCGGAUUGUGGGCUGCAACUCGCCC
rnacentral:rRNA from 1 species